rfam:Hordeum vulgare subsp. vulgare, WGS project CAJW01000000 data, contig: morex_contig_160271
UUAGUACUCACUCCGUCCGAAAUUACUUGUCAUAGAAAUGGAUGAAUCUAGACGUAUAGUAGUUCUAGAUACAUCCACAUUUAUCCAUUUAUGCGACAAAUAAUUUUGGACGAAGGGAGUACUUU